rnacentral:rRNA from 1 species
UACGAAGGGUGCAAACGUUGCUCGGAAUCAUUGGGCGUAAAGCGCACGUAGGCGGCUUUGCAAGUCGGACGUGAAAUCCCUCAGCUCAACUGAGGACGUGCAUCCGAAACUGCAAGGCUUGAGUACUGAAGAGGAUCGCGGAAUUCCCGGUGUAGAGGUGAAAUUCGUAGAUAUCGGGAGGAACACCAGUGGCGAAGGCGGCGAUCUGGGCAGAUACUGACGCUGAGGUGCGAAAGCGUGGGGAGCAAACAGG